rnacentral:rRNA from 1 species
UACGUAGGGUGCGAGCGUUGUCCGGAAUUAUUGGGCGUAAAGAGCUCGUAGGCGGUCUGUCACGUCUGCUGUGAAAACUCGGGGCUUAACCCCGGGCCUGCAGUGGGUACGGGCAGACUAGAGUGCGGUAGGGGAGACUGGAAUUCCUGGUGUAGCGGUGAAAUGCGCAGAUAUCAGGAGGAACACCGGUGGCGAAGGCGGUUCUCUGGGCCUGUACUGACGCUGAGGAACGAAAGCGUGGGGAGCGAACAGG